rnacentral:lncRNA from 1 species
UUUAUUUGUUUUUUAUUCAUUUGCUUUUUUUUAAUUUUUGUUUUAUCCGUUUCUCGGCUUAGGGUCAAAAAACAUUCUUAAGUAUGCUUAUUGCAAUUUCGAAAUUUCUAUUUGAAUACAAUAAAUUGAAAUACACAAUACUCACAAUAAUAUUAAUUGCAAUAAAAACUUAGGCACCAUAAUUUAAUAGAUGUCUUAUAAUUUAAUAGGUGCCUAAAUCAAUGAGGGUUUGUAGCGUAAUAGUGUAUUUCAAAGGCUAACCGAUUUCGGCACUCUGGUGCCGUAGUAUAGGAGCAUUUGUAAAUAUGCAGACAGGUUAAGUCUGUCAGUCCUCAUUUGUUGGUAAACCAUAUUCACAGAGAAACUGAAACAUUUUACAAUGUUUCGUGCUACAAAUUAUAGAGAACAUUAAAAGUAAAGGAGAGACAACUGGAACAGAUUACUAUGAUUAUUUGCAAAGGGAUGGUUUGUGCUUAGCAACGGAUUCAGUAAAUUGAUUUAUUAUCAUCUUUGUUCAUCAUUUGAAUUUAUUAUUAAUAAUCCCAAUCUUGAAAAAUUAUUUUUGCAACACAAUAAUUAUCACCUGAAGUUAUUAUCAUCUUUGGUAGGCAAUGAAAAGUUUACAACAUGAAGGAUUUUACUUAAAUUUUGAAUUUGAGUGUGAAUGUGGGGAAAAUGCCUUCAAAGUUUAUUCUGCUGUUAUAAAAAUUAUGUGUAAUAUUGUUUUAAAUAAUUAUACAAAAAACAAAAAUAGCAGCUAUUAAAGUAGGUAAUGAAUCUUCAAAAAAGUAUAAAAAGAAAAAUAAUGAAUGCACAUCAAACAUUGCGAGCAAUUGUUUUUAUAGUUAUUUCUAGCGAUAUUUUUGUAUAUAAUUUAAAAUAAUUAUUUAUUUAAAAUAAAGUAUUUUACAUGUA